rnacentral:lncRNA from 1 species
UUUUUUUUUUUUACUAUAGUCUCUGACAUCAUUAGCCAUUGUUAAGGUGUAAGUUUCAGCAUUUCCUGUGGAGUUCAAUUUCCCCAAUGAGACAUAUCAGAUCUCAUCUCUUCUAUCUAAAGGAAUUAUUUUUCUCUCAAAACCAUUUUCACAUACACUGGUCUAGUGUAGUCUAUUCGGAAAUAGUAAAGGUCAGACUUUUCUGCAUAUGAUCUAUAUUAUUUUCCAACUGCCACUGAGGAUGGAUUAGUAAUUUCUGAUUGCCACAAAAAAUGGGCUAUGUCAGUGCUUGAGUGUCUGGAUUGCCUUUCUCUGAACCCAAGGGACUCAUUCUCACUAUGUUCUCUGCUCCUUAUAUUAUUCCAAAGUGGUCAAGAGUCCUUGGAUAUUCCACUUGAACCAACCUCCCUGGCCUCAUGACAGACUUGGGGACUGCUGGGAUCAGAAAAUCUCCCCUCCUUCCCAUCUUUCCUCCAUCUUCCCCUUCCCUUCCUUUUUUCCUUCCUUCCCUCUUUUCUUUUUUUUAAUCUCCACUUUCUUUAUGACAAGAAACUCUGAUUCCCAUGUAUUACUCUGGUUUAGCUUUCUUAGCAGAUUAAUUUCUAUACACAAUGUUGUGUGUUUGGUGGUGGUCCCCCCAAAAAUGUAUUCAUAUCUUAAUACCUGCAUCUUGUGAAUAUUACCAUAUUUGGAAAAAGGUUUUGUAGACAUAAUAGAGUCUUGAGAAGAGAUUAUCCUGGGUUACCUAUGUGGGUCUUAAAUCGAAUGAUAGCCUUAUGAAAAACAUAAGAGGAGAAGGCCUUGUGAAAAUGGAAGCAAAGAUUGAAGUUAGGCAGCCAUAGGCCAAGUAAUGCCUGGUACUACCAGAAGCUGGAAGAGAUAAGGAAGGAUUCCCCUCUAGACACUUUGGAGAAAAUAGCCCUAUUGACACCUUUAUUUUGGACUUCUGGCCUAUAGAACCCUGAGAGAAUAAAUUGUUACUGUUUUAAGCCACCAAGUUUGAGAUAAUUUAUUAUGCCAGCCACAACAAACUACUGCAUGCGGGAGAUCCUUGGGUGGCUCAGUGGUUUAGUGCCUACCUUCGGCCCAGAGCGUGAUCCUGGAGGAUCCCUGCAUCUAUUUUUAUAAAGGAUAUUGGUUUAUAUUUUUCUUUUAAUAUGAUUUUUAAAAAGAUUUUAUUUAUUUAUUCAUGAGAGACAUAGAAAGAGAGGCAGAGACAUAGGCAGAGGGAGAAGCAGACUCCCUGUGGGGAGCCUGAUGUGGGAUUCAAUCCUAGGACCCCGGGAUCACGACCUGGGCCAAAGGUGGACACUCAACCACUGAGCCACCCAGGUGCCCCAUAAUGUGAUGAUUUGAUCUUGCUUUUGUAAUGCUGGUCCCAUAGAAUAUUAGGUUGUAUUCCUUCUUCUUCGAUAUUUUGAUGAAGUUUGAGAAUGUAUUAACUCUUCUUUAAAUGUUUGGUAGAACUUAACCAAUGAAGCCUAUCUUAUCUUGGGGUUUUCUUUGUUGGGAGGCUUUUGAUUAUAGAUUCAAUCUCUUUAUCUGUUAUAGAUCUAUUCAGAUUUUCUGUUUCUUCUUGAAGCAGUUUUGGUAAUUUUUGUGUUUCUAGACAUUUGUCCAUUCUUCUAGCUUUUCAAAUAUGUUGGCAUAUAAUUGUUCAUACUCUUCUGUUAUGAUACUUUUUUAUUUCUGUAAGGUUUGUAGCAAUGCUCUUUAUUAGUUUGCGAGGUCUGCCAUAACACAGACUGUGUGGGUUAAACAGAAACGUAUUUCCUCGCUGUUCUGGAGGCUAGAAAUCCAACAUCAGGUUGUUGGCAAGAUUAAUUUCAUUCCGAGCCCUCUCUUUCUGGCUUGUAAAUGGCCACCUUCUCCUUUUGUCUUCAUAUGGUCUCCUGUGCAUGUGCAGCUGCACUCUAAUUUUCCCUUCUUAUAAGGACACCAAUAAUACCGGAUUAAGGCCCAAUCCAAUGAUUUCAUUUAAAUUAAUUAACUCUUUAAAGACUGUGUCUCGGGGAGGAGCAAGAUGGCGGAAGAGAAGGGUCUCCAAAUCACCUGUCUCCACCAAAUUACCUAGAAAACCUUCCAAUCAUCCUGAAAAUCUAUGAAUUCGGCCUGAGAUUUAAAGAGAGACCAGCUGGAAUGCUACAGUGAGAAGAGUUCGCGCUUCUAUCAAGGUAGGAAGACGGGGAAAAAGAAAUAAAGAAACAAAAGGCAUCCAAGGGGGAGGGGCCCCGCGAGGAGCCGGGCUGAGGCCGGGGCGAGUGUCCCCAGGACAGGAGAGCCCCGUCCCGGAGAAGCGGGAGCUGCACCAACCUUCCCGGGCGGAAAGGGGCUCGCAGGGAGUUGGAGCAGGACCCAGGAGGGCGAGGAUGCCCUCGGGCUCCCCGGGACACUAACAGACACCUGCGCGCCCAGGAGAGUGUGCCGAGCUCCCUAAGGGCUGCAGCGCGCACGCGGGACCCGGAACAGCUCAGAGGGGCUCAGGCAGCGGCUCCGCGGAGGGGGCUGCGGGGCGGGAGCAGCUCGGGGGGCUCGGGGGCGGCUCCGCGGAGGGGGCUGCACGGCCCCGGGAGCAGCUCGGAGGGGCUCGGGCGGAGGAAGAGGCUCCGUGCGGAGAGGGCUGCGCGGUUCCAGGGGCAGCUCGGAGGGGCUCGGGCGGCAGCUCCGCGGAGGGGGUUGCGCGGCCCGGGAGCGCGAAUCCAACAGCGCAGGCCCCGGAGCACAGGGCGCCGGGACACAGCCCAGGAUCCGGCCUCCCCCCGGGACAGGCAGAGGCCGGGAGGGCCCAGGACAGCAAGGACGCUCCUGCCCCGAGCUGAGCAGAUCAGCGGCCCCGCCCCGGAGCCUCCAGGCCCUGCAGACGGAGACCUCCGGAGUUCCUGCCGGAGCU